ensembl:scaRNA
AGGGUUUGGGGAAGGGCGGCUGUGUGGUUGGACCCUUGUUGACACAGCCUUGUACCAGCCAGCCUGACCUCGUGCCCUAGAAUAAUCGUACGCAGACUCUUCUGUAGAGUUUGCCCUGUGCAGUAACAGGUGUGAGCAUUCUUGCAGCAUUUUGAUGGUCAUGUAUGAUACUGCAUACAAAA